rnacentral:miRNA from 1 species
UUCUCCAGGCACUUAAGGUGUUAAAGCCGUAGGCAGUUUUAAUUGAACAAAAAAGAACAGCUGUUCUUUUUUUUUUACAUUAAAACUGCCUGCGGCUUCAACACCUUGAGUGCCU